rnacentral:lncRNA from 1 species
AAAAUAAUAAUAACAAUAAUAACAGAUAAACAGAAACAAUAAAUAAAAGAAAGAGAACUAAAUCAAAUGAUUUUUCUCUUUCUUCUCUCUAAGUGCAUCCGGUUAGAGGAGCUGCCGCCUACCGAGCUGAGGAGUGAGGAGCAAAGAGAUGAAUGAUGAUGGACGGUGAGGAAAGAAGAGGGAACUCACCAGCAACAGCAAGUCGGGGUCGGGGGGCAGCGCCGCAGCAAGUCGGGGUCGGAAGUCACCGGGUCGGGGAAGGUCUGG